CCCUUUCACACACAUCCUGUCACCUUCUCUUUGGCCUUGCAAACUCUCAGUACCUUUCAUUUGUGGCAGUCAUUUGCAUAUGUAUAGUGCCCAAUCCCCAGUCACUGUGUACAGAAACGGAGAAGUCCACCGUAAUAAUGUCACCAGUGCUACUGCUUUCCUCCCCUGGACCACAGCCAGUGUUCCAUACUGCCCAUCCAUAUGUGCUACAGCUUUCUGCACUAUAAAAUGACUCCGGUGUCAAAUUAUGCAACUGCAGCUGAGCAGAGUGGCCUUUACCUCAUAGCCAUAUGGAGAGUCUGUGAAGCCUGAUUGUUUGUGAUGAAGACGAUGAUGAUUUCUCCAGACCUGUGUACAGAGUUUUGGUUGCAGUUUACCAGCUCAGAAAGUUUCCAUUAUUCACAUUUACUGCCUGUGUAAGUCAAUCUGUGUGUGUGUGUGUGCGUAUUUAGUUUAAUUUUCCACAUGUGUACAUGAGAUAACAUCUUAU